UACAGAGGGGGCAAGCGUUGUUCGGAAUUACUGGGCGUAAAGGGCUCGUAGGUGGCCAACUAAGUCAGACGUGAAAUCCCCGGGCUCAACCCGGGAACUGCGUCCGAGACUGAAAGGCUCGAAUCCGGGAGAGGGAUGUGGAAAUUCCAGGUGUAGCGGUGAAAUGCGUAGAUAUCAGCAGGAACACCCGUGGCGAAGGCGGCUUCCUGGAUCACCCCUGACGCUGAGACGCGAAAGCGUGGGGAGCGAACGGG
rnacentral:rRNA from 1 species